rnacentral:rRNA from 1 species
UACGGAGGGUGCGAGCGUUGUCCGGAAUCACUGGGCGUAAAGGGCGCGUAGGCGGUCUGCUAAGCGUGCGGUGAAAGCCUGGGGCUCAACCCCAGGUCUGCCGUGCGAACUGGUGGACUAGAGCACUGUAGAGGCAGGUGGAAUUCCGGGUGUAGCGGUGGAAUGCGUAGAGAUCCGGAAGAACACCGGUGGCGAAGGCGGGUCUCUGGGCCGAAACUGGACGCUGAGGAGCGAAAGCGUGGGGAGCAAACAGG